rnacentral:rRNA from 1 species
AUUGAACGCUGGCGGCAGGCCUAACACAUGCAAGUCGAACGAGUGGCGGACGGGUGAGUAAUGUCUGGGAAACUGCCCGAUGGAGGGGGAUAACUACUGGAAACGGUAGCUAAUACCGCAUACCAUCGGAUGUGCCCAGAUGGGAUUAGCUAGUAGGUGGGGUAACGGCUCACCUAGGCGACGAUCCCUAGCUGGUCUGGGAGGAUGACCGGCCAACCGGGAACUGGACCACGGUCCAGCUUCCUAGGGGGGGAAGCAGUGGGGAAUAUUGCACAAUGGGCGCAAGCCUGAUGCAGCCAUGCCGGUUGUAUGAAGAAGGCCUUCGGGUUGUAAAGUACUUUCAGCGAGGAGGCGUUACUCGCAGAAGAAGCACCGGCUAACUCCGUGCCAGCAGCCGCGGUAAUAC